UCUGAUUCCUCUAAUCACAUGAUCAUCAACAACACAAUUAGUUGAAUCAAGUGUGUUAGUGCUGGACUGGAACAAAAGCCUGCACCCCCUAUAGCUCUCCUGAUCUAAGGUAUGUGACUGACCACUAGUCUACAUGCUAUAGCCCCAGGCUAUAGCAUGUAGACACCUCCAUUACAUAGAAUGAGAGGUCAAGAGAUGACAGUUGUGUUUCCAUGCCAACCUUUCUUCUUCUUCUUGGCGGUCUUGGCCUUCUUCUUGGAGCGGCUGCUGUGGCUGUUGGAGCCGUCCGACACMUCAAAGGUCCCGUCGUCAAAGUCACUCUCCACGUCAAGCUCAUCSUCCUCACUCUGACAACAACACAGGGAGAGAAACAYAGACAAAGAUACAAUGAUAGAARUGUGGGACAGAAGUAUGGCAAGGCUUACUGCAUAUCAGUUGAUUCURAGACAAGUUUGUUUUCUUACCGAGGAUCUCUUCCUCUUGCUGUUGAAGCCUCCCAGUUUGAUCUUGAGCGGAGCCACCUUCUUGGCUUUGGGCUUGGGGGCAGCCUUAGGGUUGGGCUUGGACCUCCUGCGAGCAUUGGGGCCUGCAGAGGGAGAUAGAGUUCAAUUAUUCCCUUAUUCUACAACGAAUACCCAACAAUAACAUUGUACAUGCUCCCUCCAUCAGCAUUCCUUUAACUUGUUCCUCACCUUUGCCCUCUUUGGUCUUGGCCUUGCGGAGUGGGGGUACAGGCACAGCGGGCACAGCUACAGGUACGGAGGCGAGUGCAGCUGGAGGGGACUCUUUCGCGGCACUACCCCCCGCCCCUGCAUCCCCUCCUGCCUCUGUCCCUGCCACCACCAUGCUUUCCACGGCCGCAGCCACGUUGGCAGCUGCCAGGGCUGCGUUGGCACUGGCACAGCCCUACAGAGGGGUUGUUGGUGCUGAACUCCCUCCACUUGGCCAUCAUCAGAGUCAUCAUCCUGGACACAGCGAUCUUGGGGUUCUUGGCUGCGAUGAGGGGUCUGGGGAAGUGAGGGCAAAAGAGAGGCAGAGGUUAAGUUUGGGGAACUCUACAGCGGGGCGGCAGAAAGUGGAUGUUUGCGGUUUUCAGGGAUACAGUAUUUUCAACAUAACUUCCAUUUGCUCUGAAAAACAGAUGUGGGGACUCCGUUCAAGCGUCUUUUUAUGCCUGCUAUGUUAGUUUCAGUUCGGGGUAGAAGUAGGGGCAGUUACAGACGGGUCGUAGCUAGCUCAGUCACACACAGAUAUGAAGUAACUUUCUCCUCCGAUCCACAAAAGCUGCGCUAUCCAGGUGAAGUGGUACUGAAACCUGCUACAGUGGAAAUAGAAGGAGAAUAGCAAAAAACAAGUAGAAAACAAGAGAUGUGAGAGAGGUGUGUUAACCUGACAAACUGGCUGAAGGCCUUGUAGUUGGUGAUGGUGGUAUAGUCCUUCUGAGUGAAGACAUGGUCGAUGUCUUUCAUGCCCCAGUCCUCCAGCAGCUGAGUCGAGCUCUUGGGCUCCUGGAGAGGGGGCGGAGUUAGGUAUCAUUACAUUCAGGGUCACUGUGCCAACAGCGUCAUUAAGUGGAUUGCAGGGGCUGCUUCAAAUCAAAACAAAGAACAGCUCCAACGACUCCCUUGUUCACCCCACCUGCACCACCCACAUCCUCAUAACCUUCAUCCUCACCUGGCUAUCUUCAUCAUCAUCCUCCUCAUCAUCCUCAUCUUUCUCUAGUUCUGGUUCUUUACGUUUACUCUUGGAGCUGGAUGAGCCUCCUCCUCCUUUCUCCUUCUCUCCACUCGUCCCUCCUCCCUUCUUCUUGUCUUUGGAGGAACUGGAGCGCUUCUUCUUCUUCCCCCUCGGGGCGUAAUCACUUCCCUCGCUUUCUGACCUGGCUCUACCUCCUCCUCCCUCUUCCUCCUCCCUCGCUGCUUGCUCUACUGCUAUGAAGGGUUCUGGUGAGCUGACUGGCACCUCCUGAGAGGAAACAAAAUGAGUCAACAUAGACGCAAAUAUGAAGAAGACAAAAAUCUCACAAAUGCUGAAAAUGUAUACUAAGG
ensembl:lncRNA